rnacentral:rRNA from 1 species
AUUGAACGCUGGCGGCAGGCCUAACACAUGCAAGUCGAGCGGAGCGGCGGACGGGUGAGUAAUGCCUAGGAAUCUGCCUGGUAGUGGGGGAUAACGUCCGGAAACGGGCGCUAAUACCGCAUACUAUCAGAUGAGACUAGGUCGGAUUAGCUUGGUGGUGGGGUAAAGGCCUACCAAGGCGACGAUCCGUAACUGGUCUGAGGGGAGGAUCAGUCACACUGGAACUGGGACACGUUCCAAACUUCUACGUGAGUCAGCGGUGGGGAGUAUUGGACAAGGGGCGAAAGCCUGAUCCAGCCAUGCCGCGUGUGUGAAGAAGGUCUUCGGAUUGUAAGCACUUUAAGUUGGGAGGCGUUACCAACAGAAUAAGCACCGGCUAACUUCGUGCCAGCAGCCGCGGUAAUUC